rnacentral:tRNA from 1 species
CGGGGCGUAGCGCAGCUUGGUAGCGCGCCUGGUUCGGGACCAGGAAGUCGGAGGUUCAAGUCCUCUCGCCCCGACCA